CAUCAGGAUCUGAGAACGAUCAAAGUCCAACAGGAAAAGGAAAGAGAUUCACUUGUUUCUGCAGGGUAGGAACAGAGAGGUGGACUCAGCGUGGAAGUGAAAGGCAUCAGAGAGUACAGCGUGACAUUUGUACAAAGUCAGUGAGCUCUGGAGAUGCUGGAGAAGCGGGUUGAUGACUGGCCACGGAUUGAGUUCCUGGUCCACAACAAUGUCGGCACUAUCAAGAAAUACAGGCAAUGUGGAAGCUGUGGAAAUGUAUGUGGCAAAGAAGAGUAGCAAGCAUGUGAAGAGAGCCUGCCAGAGACCGAUGAAGACUAGAGUGGAAGAAAGAGGCUCCAAACUUUAGAAGCUCUGACACUGAACACCCAAGUGCUAAGAAUCCAGAAAAGGAUUGCUUGACCUUUGUGUAAAGU
rnacentral:lncRNA from 1 species